rnacentral:rRNA from 1 species
CCUACGGGAGGCAGCAGUGAGGAAUAUUGGUCAAUGGACGAGAGUCUGAACCAGCCAAGUAGCGUGAAGGAUGACUGCCCUAUGGGUUGUAAACUUCUUUUAUAUGGGAAUAAAACGUUCCACGUGUGGGAUUUUGUAUGUACCAUAUGAAUAAGGCUCGGCUAACUCCGUGCCAGCAGCCGCGGUAAUACGGAGGAUCCGAGCGUUAUCCGGAUUUAUUGGGUUUAAAGGGAGCGUAGGUGGAUUGUUAAGUCAGUUGUGAAAGUUUGCGGCUCAACCGUAAAAUUGCAGUUGAAACUGGCAGUCUUGAGGACAGUAGAGGUGGGCGGAAUUCGUGGUGUAGCGGUGAAAUGCUUAGAUAUCACGAAGAACUCCGAUUGCGAAGGCAGUUCACUGGACUGCAACUGACACUGAGGCUCGAAAGUGUGGGUAUCAAACAGGAUUAGAUACCCUGGUAGUC